GCCUUUUUCACUAUUAUCGACAGUCUAAAUGCUAUAAAACUCAAAACAGCUCCUACAUUAUUUAUACGGCCAAGUUUAAAAGUGAUAACUCAAUCCCUCUCCAUUCUAUAUAUUUAUUAAAUUAGAUUUAUUGCAUUAACGAUUCUUCUACUGAUUCAUAAAGAUUAAUUCUGAUUCUCUCAAAAAAAUUUUAAACAAAAACCAAAAUUUUAAUUAAUCUAAUUUUCAGGUAAAUCAACUGAAUAUGUUAAAAUGAAUUCAGAUUUGAUAAUUAUGUUUGGGCUUAUAUUUAGUUUUUAUUUAGUAAUAUAGCUUAUAAAUUCAAACACUGAUUUAUAAUUUCCUUUAGGUUAAUAAAAUGAAUUCAUUUUAGAUUGACUCACUUAAUGCAUUAGAAUCACCAAUUUUAUUUUAGAGUUUAAAUUUUUU
rnacentral:misc_RNA from 1 species